AGGAGGAACAACCCCAGUGGCAGCGGCCAGCUCCCCAGCCCUGGAGUCAGCUCCCGCAGUAACUACAGGGCUCUCUGUCUGCAGGGCCUGGAGGCUCUGGGGCGAG
rnacentral:pre_miRNA from 1 species